rnacentral:rRNA from 1 species
AUUGAACGCUGGCGGCAUGCUUUACACAUGCAAGUCGAACGGUAACAGGCCGCAAGGUGCUGACGAGUGGCGAACGGGUGAGUAAUGCAUCGGAACGUGCACAGUCGUGGGGGAUAACUACUCGAAAGAGUAGCUAAUACCGCAUACGAUCUAUGGAUGAAAGCGGGGGACCGUAAGGACUCGCGCGAUUGGAGCGGCCGAUGUCAGAUUAGGUAGUUGGUGGGGUAAAGGCUCACCAAGCCAACGAUCUGUAGCUGGUCUGAGAGGACGACCAGCCACACUGGGACUGAGACACGGCCCAGACUCCUACGGGAGGCAGCAGUGGGGAAUUUUGGACAAUGGGCGCAAGCCUGAUCCAGCAAUGCCGCGUGCAGGAAGAAGGCCUUCGGGUUGUAAACUGCUUUUGUACGGAACGAAACGGCUCUGGUUAAUACCCGGGGCCAAUGACGGUACCGUAAGAAUAAGCACCGGCUAACUACGUG